rnacentral:RNase_P_RNA from 1 species
UUAGUUAGUCAGACGGUCGCGUGGCGGGUGUGAUGCCCAUCACGAGGAAAGUCCGGGCUUUAUAGAACAGGGUGCUGGGUAACUCCCAGUGAGGGCGACCUUAAGGAAAGUGCAACAGAAAUAAACCGCCACGAAUAUGUUUUUCAAAAAUACAAGAGUUUUUGAGAAGAAGAAAUUCAGCUGUAAGAGUAAAAAACUCAGGGCUCCCACAAAGUGCCAGCAAAGCACACUGCGUGGUUCCCCAAAAGUAUCUGCCGGAAACUUUUUGGGAAAAAGGAGCAGUCGACAACAAAAGCGAAACUUUUGCGACAGCAAAAUAAGCAAAGUUGUAGAGUUGCAACGUGGUAAGGAUGGAAAGGCGGUGUAAGAGACCACCGGCCGGUUGGUGACAAUCGGUGCUCUGUAAACCCCACCUAAAGCAAGAUUAAAAGCAUCGCAUAAGGCUGUUCGUCUUGGUGCUUAAAAGUAUCGCUAAAGCCAUAUGGCAACGUACGGCUUAGAUAGAUGACCGUUUAAUACAGAACCCGGCUUAUAGACUAAUCUAAUAU